rnacentral:rRNA from 1 species
UGAAACACGGACCAAGGAGUCUAACAUGUACGCAAGUCAUGGGGUUGCAAAACCCACAGGCGCAAUGAAAGUGAAGGUCAAUUCGGUUGGCCGAGGUAGGAUCCCUGGUUCAACUGGGGCGCACUACCGUCCCAUCGCAUCUGCUCGUCAGAGCGGUGGAGAAAGAGCGUACACGUUGGGACCCGAAAGAUGGUGAACUAUGCCUGAGCAGGAUGAAGCCAGAGGAAACUCUGGUGGAGGUCCGUAGCGGUUCUGACGUGCAAAUCGAUCGUCAGACUUGGGUAUAGGGGCGAAAGACUAAUCGAACCAUCUAGUAGCUGGUUCCCUCCGAAGUUUCCCUCAGGAUAGCUGGCACUUAGAACGCAGUUUUACCCGGUAAAGCGAAUGAUUAGAGGCCUUGGGGACGAAACGACCUCAACCUAUUCUCAAACUUUAAAUGGGUAAGAAGUCUCGCUUGCCUGACCGAAGCUCAGACAUUGAAUGCGAGUGCCAAGUGGGCCAUUUUUGGUAAGCA